CCUACGGGAGGCUGCAGUGGGGAAUAUUGGACAAUGGGGGGAACCCUGAUCCAGCCAUGCCGCGUGUGUGAAGAAGGCCCUCGGGUUGUAAAGCACUCUCAGUGAGGAAGAACGCCUGGUGGUUAAUACCCAUCAGGAAAGACAUCACUCACAGAAGAAGCACCGGCUAACUCCGUGCCAGCAGCCGCGGUAAUACGGAGGGUGCGAGCGUUAAUCGGAAUUACUGGGCGUAAAGCGCGCGUAGGUGGCUUGAUAAGCCGGUUGUGAAAGCCCCGGGCUCAACCUGGGAACGGCAUCCGGAACUGUCAAGCUAGAGUGCAGGAGAGGAAGGUAGAAUUCCCGGUGUAGCGGUGAAAUGCGUAGAGAUCGGGAGGAAUACCAGUGGCGAAGGCGGCCUUCUGGACUGACACUGACACUGAGGUGCGAAAGCGUGGGUAGCAAACAGGAUUAGAUACCCUAGUAGUC
rnacentral:rRNA from 1 species